rnacentral:rRNA from 1 species
CAGUAGCCGCGGGAAUACGAAGGGUGCAAGCGUUAAUCGGAAUUACUGGGCGUAAAGCGUGCGUAGGCGGUGAGUUAAGUCUGCUGUGAAAUCCCCGGGCUCAACCUGGGAAUUGCAGUGGAUACUGGAUCACUAGAGUGUGGUAGAGGAUAGUGGAAUUUCCGGUGUAGCAGUGAAAUGCGUAGAGAUCGGAAGGAACAUCUGUGGCGAAGGCGACUAUCUGGGCCAACACUGACACUGAGGCACGAAAGCGUGGGGAGCAAACAGGAUUAGAUACCCGUGUAGUCCCUGUCUCUUAUAC